rnacentral:rRNA from 1 species
AUGUGCAGCAAAGAAGGAUAUAGGUCCUUGAAAAACUUUGAAAGGUCCAACCGGAAAAGGAAACCAAGGGCACUCUCUCGUUGUGGAUGUGACGCUCGACUGCAAAUCGAGCUCAAUAUGGAAAGCCGUGAAUGGUUUGUCAAGGACUUUGUGGACCAGCAUAACCAUGAAUUCACUAAGCCUGACCAGACACCUUUCUUAUGGUCUCAUCGUGGACUUAAUGAUCCUCAAAAGGCUGAUGCCAUUGAGUAUGGUAUUGGUGGUCUACGCACACAUCAGAUAAUGGACGUAAUGGAGAAGCAGCAUGGUGGGUAUGACAAAAUCGGCUGUGUGUCUCGGGACCUAUAUAAUUUUAUUGCUGAGUACAAGAAGCAAAGGAUUGAAGGUUUUGAUGCCCAAUACAUGCUGAACUAUAUGGCUGCGCAGGAAGAGAGAGAUUCUGAAUUCUUUUACAGGUACAGCACAGACAGCGAAGGCCAUCUGCAGAACCUAUUUUGGUCAGACGCGCUGUGGCGGUUGGACUAUGAUGCCUUUGGUGGUGGUGUUGUGUUUGACAGCACGUACCGUGUAAACAAAUAUAACUUGCCAUUUGUCCCAUUCAUUGGAUUGAACCACCAUCGCAGCACAGUUGUCUUUGGGGUCGGCACUGUAUCAGACGAGACCGUGGCAUCAUAUAAAUGGUUGCUCCAUUCAUUUUUGGAGGCGAUGCACCAGAACCAUCCCAGGUCCGUGAUCACUGAUGGGGACCAUGCAAUGGCGAGAGCAAUAUUGCAGAGGAGAGGAGAGAGACAUACGUCUUCGGUGGGUGAUGAUCCUCGUCGACGGCCAGCAGCUGGAGUGCACGCACAUGGGGGAACACCUUUUUUCAUCCACUCUUGA